rnacentral:rRNA from 1 species
GCCUUUUUGGGUCUUGUGAUUGGAAUGAGUACAAUUUAAACCCAUUAACGAGGAACAACUGGAGGGCAAGUCUGGUGCCAGCAGCCGCGGUAAUUCCAGCUCCGGUAGCGUAUAUUAAAAUUGUUGCAGUUAAAAAGCUCGUAGUUGAACUUUGGGCCUGACUAGCUGGUCCGCCUCAUCGCGUGUACUGGUCUGGUCGGGUCUUUCCCCUUGGGGAACCUCAUGCCCUUUACUGGGUGUGGUGGGGAACCAGGACUUUUACUUUGAAAAAAUUAGAGUGUUCAAAGCAGGCCUUUGCUCGGAUACAUUAGCAUGGAAUAAUGGAAUAGGACGUGUGGUUCUAUUUUGUUGGUUUUCAGAACCGCCGUAAUGAUUAAUAGGGAUAGNUGGGGGCAUCAGUAUUCAAUUGUCAGAGGUGAAAUUCUU